CUUGGUCAUUUAGAGGAAGUAAAAGUCGUAACAAGGUUUCCGUAGGUGAACCUGCGGAAGGAUCAUUAAAGAGAACGGGCGAAAGCCCAACCUCCAACCCUUUGUCGUAAACCACUAGUUGCCUUGCCUUAAGUCGGUUGACUGAGGCGUGGGUUUCCCACGCCGCGUCACGCCGGCCUCUUGGGCGAUGGAUCUUUAAACUCGAAUAUCAGUGUAGUCUGAGUAUAAAUUCAAUGAAUUAAAACUUUCAACAACGGAUCUCUUGGUUCUGGCAUCGAUGAAGAACGCAGCGAAAUGCGAUAAGUAAUGUGAAUUGCAGAAUUCAGUGAAUCAUCGAAUCUUUGAACGCACAUUGCGCCCCUUGGUAUUCCGGGGGGCAUGCCUGUUCGAGCGUCAUUACAACCCUCAAGCUUUGCUUGGUCUUGGGCCCUGCCGGCAACGGCGGGCCUUAAAAUCAGUGGCGGCGCCAUCGUGCUCUCAGCGUAGUAAUUCUUCUCGCUGUUGGGUCCCGGUGGACGCUGGCCAGCAACCCCCAAUUUUCUAUGGUUGACCUCGGAUCAGGUAGGGAUACCCGCUGAACUUAAGCAUAUCAAUAAGCGGAGGAAAAGAAACCAACAGGGAUUGCCUCAGUAACGGCGAGUGAAGCGGCAACAGCUCAAAUUUGAAAUCUGGCUCUUUCAGGGUCCGAGUUGUAAUUUGUAGAAGAUGCUUCGGGUGUGGCUCCGGUCUAAGUUCCUUGGAACAGGACGUCAUAGAGGGUGAGAAUCCCGUAUGUGACUGGCUGCCUCCGCCCAUGUGAAGCUCUUUCGACGAGUCGAGUUGUUUGGGAAUGCAGCUCAAAAUGGGUGGUAAAUUUCAUCUAAAGCUAAAUAUUGGCCAGAGACCGAUAGCGCACAAGUAGAGUGAUCGAAAGAUGAAAAGCACUUUGGAAAGAGAGUUAAACAGUACGUGAAAUUGUUGAAAGGGAAGCGCUUGCAAUCAGACUUGCGCGCGGUCGAUCAUCCGAUGUUCUCACCGGUGCACUCGACCGUGCUCAGGCCAGCAUCGGUUUCGGUGGUUGGAUAAAGGCCUUGGGAAUGUGGCUCCUCUCGGGGAGUGUUAUAGCCCUCGGUGCAAUGCAGCCUACCGGGACCGAGGACCGCGCUUCGGCUAGGAUGCUGGCGUAAUGGUUGUAAGCGACCCGUCUUGAAACACGGACC
rnacentral:rRNA from 1 species